rnacentral:rRNA from 1 species
GCACGGGUGAGUAACACGUGAAUAAUCUACCUCCGAGUGGGGAAUAACUGAGAGAAAUCUUAGCUAAUACCGCAUAACACUUACGAGUCAAAGCAGCAAUGCGCUUGGAGAGGAGUUCGCGGCAGAUUAGUUAGUUGGCGGGGUAAUGGCCCACCAAGACGAUGAUCUGUAUCCGGCCUGAGAGGGCGCACGGACACACUGGAACUGAAACACGGUCCAGACUCCUACGGGAGGCAGCAGUGGGGAAUUUUGCGCAAUGGGGGAAACCCUGACGCAGCAACGCCGCGUGGAGGAUGAAAUCCCUUGGGAUGUAAACUCCUUUCGAUAGGGAAGAUAAUGACGGUACCUAUAGAAGAAGCCCCGGCUAACUUCGUGCCAGCAGCCGCGGUAGUACGAGGGGGGCAAGCGUUGUUCGGAAUUAUUGGGCGUAAAGGGUGCGUAGGCGGUUUGACAAGUCUCAUGUGAAAUCUUCGGGCUCAACCCGAAGUCUGCAUGGGAAACUGUCGGGCUUGAGUAUUGGAGAGGUGAGUGGAAUUUCCGGUGUAGCGGUGAAAUGCGUAGAUAUCGGAAGGAACACCUGUG